AGUGAACGCUGGCGGCGUGCCUAAUACAUGCAAGUCGAACGGAGUGGCGCACGGGUGAGUAAUGUAUAGCUAAUCUGCCCUACACUAGAGGACAACAGUUGGAAACGGCUGCUAAUACUCUAUAGUGUAGGAUGAGGCUAUAUUGUAUCAGCUAGUUGGUGAGGUAAUGGCUCACCAAGGCUAUGACGCAUAACUGGUCUGAGAGGAUGAUCGGUCACACUGGAACUGAGACACGGUCCAGACUCCUACGGGAGGCAGCAGUAGGGAAUAUUGCUCAAUGGGGGAAACCCUGAAGCAGCAACGCCGCGUGGAGGAUGACACUUUUCGGAUCGUAAAACUCUGUUGUUAGAGAAGCGUUAGUAACUGAACGUCCCCUGACGGUAUCUAACCAGAAAGCCACGGUAACUACGUGCCAGCAGCCGCGGUAAUAC
rnacentral:rRNA from 1 species